rnacentral:rRNA from 1 species
AAUCCAUAGGUUAAUGAGGCGAACCGGGGGAACUGAAACAUCUAAGUACCCCGAGGAAAAGAAAUCAACCGAGAUUCCCCCAGUAGCGGCGAGCGAACGGGGAGGAGCCCAGAGCCUGAAUCAGCAUGUGUGUUAGUGGAAGCGUCUGGAAAGGCGCGCGAUACAGGGUGACAGCCCCGUACACAAAAGCGCAUGUGCUGUGAGCUCGAUGAGUAGGGCGGGACACGUGGUAUCCUGUCUGAAUAUGGGGGGACCAUCCUCCAAGGCUAAAUACUCCUGACUGACCGAUAGUGAACCAGUACCGUGAGGGAAAGGCGAAAAGAACCCCGGCGAGGGGAGUGAAAAAGAACCUGAAACCGUGUACGUACAAGCAGUGGGAGCCCCACCACCAAAGCAUUCUCUGGUGUUGAA